rnacentral:miRNA from 1 species
CGCUGUUGGAUUCGCGCUCCAGGGC